CAGAACACCCUUGACACUGGCUCUCCUCACCCCUAGGCCUCCCCCUCUGACCUUUGUGUUCCCUGCGGCCUUUGCCGGUGACACGGGAGAAGUCCAUCCGGGGAGUCCGAGGUGUGGAGGUGACAGACGAGGGGGGCGCGUCCACUGCCUUGGAGAUCUUGGACACAGAGGCAAAGAGACCUGGGGGACAGAGCCUGGGCUGGAGUCACCCAAGCUUCUGCUCUCUGCCCCACCAUCAUCCCCCAGCCCCCAAUACCCAGUCGGCAGCAUCAGAACGACUGGGACUCCCCCACUCCCCUUUCAGGCCCCGGGUGGGGACUGACCCUGCUUGGGGGGGCAGAUGAAGUACCGGACACCCCCAACACUGCCAUCAUUCUUGCCCUCGGGCUCGUCCAGCUCCACGCCCACCCACUGGCCGCUGGCGAACUCCGUGGUCCCGCAGAACCGCAGUGUGCCCGUCUGAGGAGACAAGUGAGGACAUGGCUUGGGGGGCCUUGGGAGGCCAUGACAGAUCACCGGCACACAGGAGCAUGGGGGUGUGGACAAGGGAGCCCCAGGCUCAAAUCUCAGCUCAGACAUCUCCAUUUAGUGGUUGUAUGACUUAACCUCACUGUGCCUCAAUGGCCUCAUCUGUGAAAUGGGAACAGAAAUCACGCCCACCUUAUAGGACUGUUACAGAGCUGCCCUGUCCAAUGCAGUAAACAGCCACUAGCCACAUGUGACAAUUUAAAUUUAAAUUAACUAAAAUUACAUUAAAAUUUCAUUUCCUCAAUUGCACCAGCCACAUUUCAAGUGCUUAAUAGCCACAUGUGGCUUGUGGCUGCUUCACUGGACAGCGCAGGCACGGAACAUUUCCAUCAUCUCAGAAAAGUCUACUGGACGGGCUGUCAGAAAGGAACGGAAGCCCUCAGAACCGGGCCUGGUGCUGAGUGAGGGAUCAAUGAAGAAACUGAUGCCCAGAGAGGCGGGAUCACUGGCCACAGGCCCCACAGCUGAAACGAAGCUCCAUGAGAGCAGGGCUGGGGCUGACACAGCCCUUUAUCCCCAAGGAUGGGCUGGGUCUAGUAUGGAGCCUGAGACACCAGGUAAGUGGACCAGAGUUGGAACACCUGGAUGAAUGAGGAUUCUCUUUGCCCUCUGGGCUUUUGACCUG